rnacentral:rRNA from 1 species
AGGCUAAAUACUCCUGAAUGACCGAUAGUGAACUAGUACCGUGAGGGAAAGGUGAAAAGAACCCUUAUAAUGGGAGUGAAAUAGAAUCUGAAACCGCUUGCAUACAAGCAGUAGGAGCAUGAGUUAGUCAUGUGACUGCGUACCUUUUGUAUAAUGGGUCAGCGAGUUAUUUUUAGUGGCGAGGAUAACUGAAUAAGGUAUCCGUAGCGAAAGCGAGUUUUAAUAGGGCGACUAGUCGCUAGGAGUAGACCCGAAACCGGCGCGAGCUAUCCAUGGCCAGGGUG